CCUGGGAUGGUUGAAAAUGCUCUUUUAGGCUGGCUAACCGUCCGGGGCCUCCAGGCCCCCAAGGUUCCUGUGGACGGAUGGAGGGAGUCCAUUAGCUGCCUCACCUCCUGCCCCUUUCUGGUCUCACCUGGGCCUUGUCACCUGUGCCUGAGCCCACCUGUCUCCAGAGGUCCAGGCCUGCCUCUCUCAUGUGCAAACGAGGGGGAGGUUCAGGCACCUGCCUUCAUACCAGCGGGCCUCGAAGGUGAGUACUUUGAAAGGAAAUAGGUGAAUAAAUGGUACAAUGGUGCAAUGUGGUGGGGAAGAAUAAAAGCUUAUAUAUCAGAAGCCCCUGGAUAAGGGACUUGACUAACCUUGUGACUUUUUUUCUUUUUUUGAUACAGGGACAAGACGCAGAGGUGCUUAACCACUGAGUCACAUAACCAGCCCUUUUUUAAAAUCAAUUUUAUUUAUUUAUUUAUUUUUCGACACAGGGUCUCCCUAAGUUGCUCAGGGCCUCACUAAGUUGCUAACACUGGCUUUGAAUUUGAGGCCCUCCGGUCAGCCUCCUGAGCCACUGGGAUUAUAGGCGUGUGCCCCCACACCCAGCUAACUGUGUGACUUUAACAUGUGCCGUGGCCCAUUGGAACUUAAGCUUCCUUAUCGAAUACUUCACCCUGCUGUGAGAUCAGAAUCCAUGUGUGGGAAGCACUGGCCACAGUGUCCAGUACCAUGGCUGCUAUUAUUAUGCUAAAUAGUACCAGCGACUUCAGAGGCCAGCAUGUCCAAUGGAUUGGAACCCACAUCCGGAGAGGGCAGGACUGUUUGCUAGGUCUGUUAGAAGUGCCGUCCCUGAGAUUUAACUUCUGGAUAUAGUAAAGAAUUAAGCAGCUCAGGGGGGCACUCAGACCCCUUGUUCAUGAGAAAUAUACACUGUGCAGUGAAGAAGAAAUCCAUCCUAAAGGAAGAGCCGGCCUGCCUGCAGCAGCCACUGGCAGAAAGAAUUAAGCCACUUCCCCAAACAUCAAGAGCCAACAGGAGAAACGAACCAAUUCAUGGCAAAAUUUUAUCCUAGUAGAAUAGCAAGAGACCCCAGGCCUCCUUUUGUCAAUGCCUCUUCAAUUUAAAGAACUCACUGCAGCUCAUAAGAAUUGAAUUUGCUUAUUGAUUAAUCCAUACAGACACCACACUCCAUACCGUAGGAUCCCAUCACAUGAAAUACAAGUUUCUGCAACAUUUACGUGUCUGGUACUUUUAA
rnacentral:lncRNA from 1 species